AACGCACGAGACCUGCGGACCUGCGGAGGGAUCAUUAUCGAGUUUUUAAUCGGGUUGUAGCUGGCCUUACGAGGCAUGUGCACGCCCCGUUAAUCCUCCACUCUACACCUGUGCACUUAUUGUGGGUUUCGGAUGGGGUGGAGCGGGUCUUUACUGGCUCGUGAAGCGCGUCUGUGCCUAUGUUUACUACAAACUCAAAAAGUAUUAGAAUGUGUAUUGCGAUGUGUAACGCAUCUUUAU
rnacentral:misc_RNA from 1 species